AACCACCCGCGUUAAGGAUGGAAGCGGAAAUCCUUUUUAUAGUGUAGCGCAGCGAAAUUAUAAAAAGAUUGCAGCGGACAGCCUGGCCUGCA
rnacentral:sRNA from 1 species